rnacentral:lncRNA from 13 species
GCAGUGACUUUUAACAGUUUACUUGUUUGUAAAGAAAUAAUAUGCGCCUCGUUUCUCUUUAAACUAACCGUUCCAAUAUAUAUAUUUUUCCAUCUGGUUUGAGAAUACCAUUCAGCUGACCGAUGAGGAAAUUACGCAUGGGAUCCAUGAAGAUAACUACAAUUACACUGAAAUGUUUUGUCUUCUUUUCUGUGGCCAUUACUAAAUGAAAACAUUGCCAAUGUCAUACUUUAACAUGUGUAGGCUAAGGCAAAUGCUUUACAACGUUAUACACAUGAAGCCAGUCGCGCGCAAUGAGCGAAUAGAAGUAGGGAGUUGGCGGUGACUCGCGCACAAUCAGUUGGCACGGAUGCCAGUUGUAAACUCAAACUAUUUCUGCAGGGAUUCUUACACAUAUCCAGUUUAACGACCAGCUUUUUCUGGUUACUUUGUAAGAGCUUUCCAAAUAGCACUUUGGGCAUCAUCGGUGCUGUUUUAUGGCACUGUCCAAUAUCCAUCUACCAUCUGAUCAUAAACUUGAUUUAGGGCUGUGGUGUGCGCGGGUUAUGUGCUCAUCGGCUGUGGAAUUUACAUGCGCAGCCAGUCGGUUCCUUUCCACCCAGCCUGAUUACUCAUUAUCUAUGGAUCAUUCAUAAAGCGGAUAACUUCAACGCCACUGACAGCCACGAUUUGUACGGUAUUCAUUUAAUGACCCCAUAAUGUAUUUUCAACCCCACAACAUUGUAUGCAUCAGCAACGAGAGGAGGGACUCGAGAGGGGACACGCAUUUUAAAUAGGAGUCCAAAGAGACGAGCCAGAUCGGUUCCUUCAGACUCGCGUCUCGCUGCGCUCCGCUCCGGCCGUGGGGAAGACACGCCUCCUGUUGGUCGAAAAAACUCACUGCUUAAAGCAACAGGGGACCUGCACACCGACCGGUGGAUGGACCCGACCCAGCGCCGGGUGGAUCUCCAAGNNNAGAGAGAAGAGGCUUGAACCUGACACGGACAACACUGGGCCAUUUCAACAUAUUUUUCAGUUUUCAGCUUCUGCCAGCCAAGUGUCCUCAUGCCAUUCUAUACCCACCCAAUUCCUGCCUACCCAUGGCAUAGCUGUAAUCGAUAGGCCUGAUACUUUACCCUUCAUAUUAAUGCCAUUCAACACAAACAGUGAAGGGUCAUAAGCAAUUUCAUAAAUACCAUUUUCCAUUCCUCAUCAUCUGAGCAUGGCGAGAAUGAUUGCUUUUAGCACAUGCAUGUCAUUGUUGCUAGAUUGCACAGCUCACUGCCAAUAGUGAUUCAGAGAGGUUUCUUCCUUUUAUGUUGGAUCAUGACACAGAUAUGUGUCCGUACCUGUGAUAACAUCAUCAGAUGCUUCAGAUAUAAGCCAUCUCAAUGACUAAAGACACAAACGACGUUGGCGAGCUCAUCUACUGAGUCUCAGUGUCUAACCUGGUGGCUCUCCAUUGUCCAAAUGAAAAGGUUGGAAACUUACCCAGAGGGCAAAGUGAAAUGACAUAAUCACAAUCAACUACAGUCAACCAGAACUGGUUAUAACCUGAUGAUAAGGAAGUCAUUUCAACCAGUUUUGUCUGCAGUGUAUAAAACACAAUAAGCUGAUGUCCACUGAAUCUUUUCACACCACUGACAAUACCUCCUCCUUAUUUCCAUGGAAACACCUAGUCACCUGCUGGUACUGAUAAAUGGAGAAGAACACAUCUUGAUAGAAGAAUUGGCAGAAUUGGAAAAUCUGGUUGGGUUUUUAUCCAUUCUUCAUCAAUUCUAAACAAAAUGCUGAUUUGAAACACAUGCACUGAAUAAUCAUAUCCAACUACAUUAUAAUUGGCAAAAUAAUCAGCUUAAUAUGUCACAGUCAGUCUCUUUCCACUGAUUAUUGAGAGUGCUGAUCAAUAGAUGUGACUCAUCUCAAUGGUCACCUCGAGAAUAUACAACUCCUAUUAGCACAAGCCCAAUACACUCAAUUUGAUGAUGUGUUUCAUGAUAAAUUAGCAAAUUAGUGCUGUUCUCAGCCUCUCUAUAUUACUGUCUCUCCCCCUCCUCUCUCUCUGAUGGUCACGCACACACAAACCUACACAUCAAAAUAGCCUGUCACUUACAACGCACGCACACACACACACACACACACACACACACACCACAGCAGCAGGUCAUGGUGAAGUUUUAAUGGCUUCUAAUUGCGUUUUGCUGUUUCAGAUCCUUUUAGUUGUGUGCUAUUUUCCAGCACCUCUCUACUGUCAGAACACAGCACCGUCACGGAAGCAGACAGAGCAGAGGAAAGGUAAAUAAAGAAGAAAGGAGGGGAUUGCUGAAGACUUUACUUGAGUCACUUGCAUUCUUGUGUUGCGUAAGGUAUGUCAUUCUCAUAGAGAAAGUUACCCUUGCUAAAAAAGAAGAAGACAUUAUACUAGACAAACACAACAAUAACCCCACCACCUUGUGUCCUUAGAGUCAACCCUACGUCUCCUUCUCCUGUGACUGUCUUGGGACAACAGUAAAUACCUUUUGAAACACAGCACGUCUCCGCUUCAGGCCACAUUGAAACGCAUCCCUACUCACACCCUUACACAGUGGUUGUUAUAGCGC